UAGGGAAUCUUCGGCAAUGGGGGGAACCCUGACCGAGCAACGCCGCGUGAGUGAAGAAGGUCUUCGGAUCGUAAAGCUCUGUUGUUAAGGAAGAACGAGUGUGAGAAUGGAAAGUUCAUGCUGUGACGGUACUUAACCAGAAAGGGACGGCUAACUACGUGCCAGCAGCCGCGGUAAUACGUAGGUCCCGAGCGUUGUCCGGAUUUAUUGGGCGUAAAGCGAGCGCAGGCGGUUAGAAAAGUCUGAAGUGAAAGGCAGUGGCUCAACCAUUGUAGGCUUUGGAAACUGUUUAACUUGAGUGCAGAAGGGGAGAGUGGAAUUCCAUGUGUAGCGGUGAAAUGCGUAGAUAUAUGGAGGAACACCAGUGGCGAAGGAGACUCUCUGGUCUGUAACUGACGCUGAGGCUCGAAAGCGUGGGUAGCAAACAGG
rnacentral:rRNA from 1 species